CCUAGGUCAUAUGAUUGCAGUGAUGCGCCGAUUAAAUUGAUAAGAGCUCGGUGGUGUGAUGAGGGAGGCGUUUAUUGUUCGAUUGGAAUGCAUAGAUGGCAGCAUCAAAGCGGAGCGAUCAUUAAUAAUUUAUCACCUUUCGCUCUCGUUAACCUUCAUCUUAAAAUAAGAAGUCUAAAUGAAUGCGCUUGAUACGAGUGUAGGGUACAAACCAUAGAGAGGAAGGGAACUAUUACACACGCCUUUUCGUUACACGCCUCGCUUUUGUUUUGCCAACGCUUCCAACCUUAUCAAUUGAGGGUAAGAGAAGGGGGCAAAGCUCCCCCGCUAUUAUGCAGGAGAUUAGCAAGGGGUACACAUACCACUGGUUCUUGUGGUGGACGCAGGGACAGAAGGAAUUUCACCCUAGAAUCGAUUUUCGAUAGCGAUCAUGGAUGUACCUCCAAGAACUCGGCGCAAUUCAAACCAUACAAAAAACGGCGUUGGGGAGGGAAUCACGCAUUGCAUACAUACUGCAGAUAGACUACCAGUCGAGCAGGACUUAAAACAUGUGCUCUAUCACCAGAUACUCUUCUCCAACUCUGUCAAUCUCACCAGUUAGGAUUCACCACCUCAUUCAUUACAGACUACAUCAACACGGAUCAUUGAUGGAUUAGCUUUUCUAUUGGCUAACAAGUUUUGUGUCGUAAGCGGAUGAAAACUUGUAGGAUUACACCCAACACUCAUGCGUAGUGUGACUUACGCCACACCACUGACAGUCUCUAUUUAGCGCGUGUUAACGAGGUGUGCUUGAGGAACUACUCCAGAAACGCACAUUCUUUUAUGAAUGAUAUCUCCUUUAAAAUACUCUUAUUUCAUUUCGUCGAAGUAUUUUCUGCUCCUUUCUCCUCCUUGGAUGAGUAUUAGGAUCUAUACCACCAAACACAAGGAAAUGCCACUGUAGGCAAUCAAUACCUGAAGGACUUUGUGUGGAAAUUGCACGUGACCGAUCUGUGAACAUCUUCCUGUCUGGAUACCAUUUAAAAGGAUUUCUUAUCUUCAUUGGAUCGCAAGUAUGACUGGAAGAGUUUUAUCCGUACCUGGCGGUUUGUGCCUUCUUCGAGUUGGACCAGUUUUCUGACAGAUCUAUACUUCAUCUCUGUGAUUUCUUCUCCAAUAUUUUGUACCCGCUGAGCUCAGCCACUUCAAGAGUGUAACUUCUAAGCGGAUUUUGUAUGCCUGGCUUCUAACCCGUUGCCACUGUUACGUGACAUCCAACCAUCGAAUAGAUAUCCAGCUUGGGAGUUAUCUACUCUGUACUUCUCAUUGUGACGUUUUAUCGGCAGUAGUGUUUGUACAUGACCUAAUUAUAUGGGGACACGUUCACAUUAUUCUUCUUUAUUGUCAGUUGUAUCUGAACAGGUAGGUGAGGUUGAUUCAUGUUAUCAUGUUACGAAUUGGUGAUUUUUAACCUAGUCUAAUAGUACGAAACAUUCGGAAUUUGAUUAAAAUUAAGUGGCAAAAGUAUUUUGGAAGAUGGACAUGUUACAAGGUGUUUGACAUCUUUUAUUUGCACUAGUAAUCGAGUAGGCCCGAUAGAUUAUGUUCGGAAAAAUUAUUUGAACUUGGAAUCGUGUGUACUUCUUAUUUACGAAUCACUACAAGCAUGCAAUUCCUUUGAUAGCUGUCGAAUGAAGUAAAUAACGUCACUAAAUCAUCUACGAACGGCUGUAAUGGCAUUGUACAUGUAAUCAUGUUUUCCAAAAUAUGUAAUGUUCUGGGGGGUGUUUCACAAAGAUCCUAUG
rnacentral:lncRNA from 1 species